rnacentral:rRNA from 1 species
CUUUUGUCACCUCACUUUGGUCGGUCGCUUCCUUAGGCAGCUUUGCCUUGCGGAAAAAGAAGAGGGGACGUUUUGGUGGCAGGCGGGCGGCGUUGGUCGGGUGUCUAAAGGAGGGUGGAAGGAAAAGGGAUGGGGGGAGAGGCCGGCCGCUUCUUAGAGUGGCGGCGGCGGGGGAGGAGCGGCCGGGCGGUACCGCGACAUGGCGGCGCGCCGGAGGCGCUAGGCCGUCGCGCCCCGGGACGGGGACGAGGGCCGCGCCCGCUACCGCAGCGAGAAGCCGGUGCAGCUCGGCCGCGGGUUCCUGGGGUAGGAGCCGCAGUGGCUCCGGAAGGAGCGGCUGGGGAGGGGGCUGUUUCAGUUGCAGCCGCAGCCGCGGAUGGCCCUGCUGUUGCCGUUCGGGCACCACGAGCUGACGCACGCGCUCCGCCUCGCGGCCUAGCGGCCGUUGGAGUUGUACCUCAUGGAAGGUUACCCUCCCUCAUACGUGUACUAACUCCUCAGUGAUUUCGACCGCAUGCCGCUCCUGAGGCUCAAGUAGUUUCUAUUUUCUUAACGUCGCCACGUCCGUGAAAGUCCUUGACCGCGUACGGCAGAGAAGCGACUAAAGGUCUUCGCAAAGAACGGCCUAAGCGUCUAGAUGUAUGGAUGUGGUUGCACCAGGUUGGUAGUAUUAUAAACCUCCCUACGAGUUCACGGUGUCUCCUGUAAGAGUAUAAUGGUAGGCCUUAGCUCUCCCGAACUGAAACGUCCUAACUACCUACUAUAGUUCUUACGAGGUUUACCAAGCAAGAAAAACGAAGUACGUACACGGGUAUUAGGAUGACCUCAUCUAGGAUGACUCCUUGUUACCGCUCUUUAUAGGAUAGUCAAGUUCAACUUCUUAGUAAAGGGUAAAAAACUGUACCGUAUGGUUCCUAAACGAUCGCCACUAGGUCUCUCUCUACGGUUCCGUUAGGCAUAUAAGGAACUUCUGCCUGUGGUUUAACCUACACGAGUCAGUAUACGUUUCUUGUACCCAGAAAUACCGGUCUCUCGCCCUACAGACUCAUAGGAGACGCUCCUACUCUACGUUCGUCAACGACAAUUCUCGGUUAACGUUGUCUAACGCUCUGGUUACAUGUCGUUGGGUGGACAAGUACCACGUAACCAACAAAGUUAAUAGGAAUCACUAGGUCUUAACUUCUUACAUACCAACCCUCUCCAGUUCCCAUACCGACUAGCAUAGUAACCUUACGCCUUCCGUGAAGCCCUCUUAGAACUUUUCAAUCCAAGUGGAAAUAGUACCCUCGUACAGUGGUUAGUCUAACCUUACAAAACGAUGUCACCCUACUGUGGCCUUGUUCAGCUAGCGGACUGUUCACUUAUGGUAUAGAUGUACUGUGCGUUGCCCUCUUAUUCGUACCGGCCACAUUGCUGCCCGUUGCAGCGGAUGAAUCGAUUGCGGUAAGUACUACAAUGGUUCAGUUUAACUCCUGGUAGAAGUCGCUUACCUCCGCAGCGGAUGAACCGAUUGCGGUAAGUACUACAAUGGUUCACUUUAACUCCUGGUAGAAGUCGCUUACCUCCCUCUCGCAAAAGGGAAACAAACAUCCCGAUAAGCGAAAUAUGACAGUGUACGAUCUCUUUAUUCAAGAUCCUUCAUUUGGACAACGCCGACAGGUUGUUGCCUUUUAAGAUGGACAUACAUACCUCCUCGUCUCUGCAGGACUGAAUAAAAAACACUCUAAUAGGAUAAAAACUAAGACCAGUGUAAGCCUACAUUGCCGUCACCUUUAACCCACCCAUAUGGAACUAAAAUUGUUCUACGACCUCCUGAAGUCUGAGCUGCUUUAGCUUGUAAACCUACGCACAGAGAACGUCAAGAUCGGAACGUCAACAUCUAGGUUCGCUUUCGAGCCAAACACUAUGACUCUACAUACGUUCAUUAGUUCGUACGGGACAAGAAGUCGAACCCAGAUUCGUCUCGUUAUACGUCACAUCAGCAUGUAAGCCCGUUUAGUUUACCACCAGACGUCCUAAGAUUUCAAGGUUCAUUCUACAAUGGCGCCGUUACUUAAGACUCCUACUUUGACGCCCCAGAGUUCCAUUUAACGAGUUUACCGCUUUUAUACACAACGUGGUCGUUCCUUGACGUGGAGACCACCAUCGUAAUAUAUACAAGAGGAGUUCGAC